CUAAAAUAACUGCUCCUUUUAGACUUGAGUUUAAAACGGUUCAUUCUCCAAAGAAAGAAAGAGUAAAUUGCAUUUUCCAAAACACAGUAAAUUGUAGCUCUCUUAUCAUCACGGAUAAAUGCAUAUCACGACUUUCAUUCUCAUCAUCAGUCAUGAACAGAUUACAUAAUCGGAUCCUAUUGGAUAUGGAUAUUAGGACAGAAUAUUGGCAUCAACUUGUUUACUGAUGACAUGUGAUGAAAAGAGAGGGCAUUUGGUCUAGUGGUAUGAUUCUCGCUUUGGGUGCGAGAGGUCCCGAGUUCGAUUCUCGGAAUGCCCCUUUUCUUUUAUAAUUGUUUUGAAGAUAUGGAAAGUUUCCAUUGCUAAUAUGAGAUAGGAUUAGGAAUUAGAAGACCAUACACGGAUGAGUGAAAAUGAUAGACAAGGAAGGAUUCCUAACAAGAUAAAAAUGAGAUAGGAUUAGAGGUUUUAGCAUUAAAGGGAGAGUUGGGAUAGCAAACUAGCACAUAUUGUAGAUAAUAUGGUUAAAUAUCGAGUUAAGUGGUUUGAACAUGUGUGGAGGAAAUCUAUAAAUUCCAUAGAAAGGAGAAUAUAUGAUAUGCUUUGUGGCACAAUUGCUAGAUGUAGAGAAAUGCCAUGUAAAACUACAAACAAAACUAUUGAGAAAUGCACAAAGGACCAUAUUUUGGCUAUAUAUAUGAUUUAUUUUAUAAGUUAUAAUAACAUUAUGACGACUUUUGUUUCAUCUAUCCAACUUCACCUAAUAGAAGCUUAUUGUUGUUGUAUAAUAAUGUGAAAAUGUUAGGUGGAUUAGCCAUUUUCUUUUUAGUUUCAACAGUUCCCCGUGUAUGAUGUAACGGAAAUUUGAAAUUGGCAAUACAAUUCUCACAUAGUAAAAUGUGUAUGCUACCCAUGCAAUGAUGACAAGUAGUAAAAAUUCAGUUUGCCUAGAAUAAUUGCCUGAACUGUCAAAUUUCCACAUUCACAAUCAAAACUUUUCAUAUUUGGGCAUUUGGUCUAGUGGUAUGAUUCUCGCUUAGGGUGCGAGAGGUCCCGAGUUCAAUUCUCGGAAUGCCCCUUUUUUUAAGGAUUGAAGUCCAUGCGGAUGCUGCACCGGAUGAGUAAUGAUGGGAUGCAUGGAUAGUGUAUUGGUGUUGGCUGAAAAACAAUUUUGUUAUAGAAAACUAUUGUGAGUCAUAGUUUAUAAUGUUAGUAUAUCAAGUUUUGGGUUAAUACGUGGUGUCUCUCUCACUUGUGUGGUUGCUCCUAGAAAAAAGUCCGAUUUACCCAUCAUUUAAAACUUUAUCUUAAAAGAUAAAUCCUAAAUUGAAACCUAAGUGGUAACUGGUAAAUAAGUAAGUAGACUGUCUGUGAUACCUUUGGUUGGUAAACCAAAUUAUCCUCUGCGCACAACAACAUAGACUAAUAUCUCAAGUUAGCUGAGAUUCAUUUAAGGAGAUGAUCCCUUAUAUCAAAUUUAUUUCUAUACACAUCGAUUAGAGAUCGAAUCUCCGACUAAAUGAUUAUAUGAAUCAAGUAUCUACCAUUAAUGUCAUACCAUGGUGGUUGGUAACUCUCUUUGGUAUCUCACCUAAAAAAACAGGUUAGCUUUAGAGAUCAGUAGCUUCUUCACUCAGUGAUCUCAAUAUCAUGAGAAGACACAGGACCAGCUUGUAUUUAGCAACUGUUUUCUGCUGGCAACUUUGAGAUGUUGAAGAACAACUGACAAUUGUGUAUCCAAAUAAGUAGACUUGACCAUUCACAAAUUAAAAAAUUUCAUAUCAGGGCAUUUAGUCUAGUGGUAUGAUUCUCGCUUUGUGUGCAAGAGGUCCCGAGUUUGAUUUUCAAAAUGCCCCUUUUGGAAGGUUAGGAGUUUUACUAUUCAAUAUUUAGUUAAAUAUAAAUAAGCUCAGUGUUUUGAUCAUAGAAGACUGUUGUGAGUCAUAGUUUAUCAAACUUUAUCUUUAAAGAUAAAUCCAAAAUUAAAACCUUAAUCAUCAUAAAUAUUAUAUAACUAAAAAAAAGUCAACUUUGUGUUACUUGGUUUAUGAUAGUUCAAGAAAAACUGUCUCCACUUUAUAUCUAUGAUAGUUUAAGAAAAACAGUCUCCACUUUAUAUCUAUGAUAGUUUAUACAGCCCCAGGCACUUUGUGCAACGGUCGUGGCUAUAGACUCUCUUUGACACACUGAUUAAGAUUAUUUAAGAAGUUAAUUUUUUCUAGUAAUUUUUCUAAACACACUGAUUAAGAAUCUAAUCCCGAACCAAUGCCACACUAUGUUGGCGACUCCUUUUGAUACCUUAUCUUGAAAAACAUGUUAGUGUUAGGUGGAUUGGUAACUUCCUCAGGUUGUCUCAUUAUCAUGAGAAGACACAGAACCACAGCAUCUUGUUAGCAGCUGGUUGCUGUUGGCACCAAGACACGAUAAAUCAUUUGUGGUUAUAAAAUGGUAAUUAUAAGUUUAGAUUUGAUUUGUGCUAUGUUAAAUUUCAAUUCCAUUUUUGUUACUCUGUUACAACUUUGGAUUUCAUCAGCUUUUGGUCAAUUUUGGGGUUUCAAGUAGGCUUUUGGAAAUGGUUCAGUGGCGUUAUGGGUAAUGCUCUUUACCCUGUUUAGUAAAGGGAACUGCAAAUACAUAUUGUUUCGCAAAGGUUGACGGCGGCCUAGUUUUUAUAAAAACAAGUUCCCUCUUAAAAGAACAGUUAACAUGGAUGUGGAGUUAUUUAGUUUCU